rnacentral:rRNA from 1 species
UUAAGACAGUAUUGUAAAAGGUUUGAUGGGUUUAAAAUAGUUUCCUUUUGUAUCAGGAUUCUUUUAUUAGUUUAGUUAUUUUGUUUCUCGAAUUUUUAUGGUCUAAGUGGCAUUUGUUUAAUAAAAUGGUUUUGUAGUUAGUAAUGAAAUGUUUCGAAUAAAAAUAACUAGUUAAUCCUGGGUCCCGUGAAAGUAAGUUUUGCUUAGUUUAUAUUAAUAAAUAAAAGAUAGUAAUUAUUUUUUAUAUUAUGAUUAUUGAGAGUUUGUUAUUAAUUAUUUUAAAAAUAUUUGUAAAUAAAAUAUAGGGGUUUUAAAAUUAUUGUUUAAGAAAUAAUUAAGAAAUUAUUAUAAAUAUUUGAUUAAAAAUAUUAACUCAGUUUGCUUUUGAAUGUUUAACAAAAACAUUUUUUUUGGUAAGGUCAAAAGUAAGGUCUGCCCAGUGAGAUUUAAACGGCUGCGGUAUAUUGACCGUGCAAAGGUAGCAAAGUCAUUUGUUUUUUAAUUGAAAACUGGAAUGAAAGGCUUAACAAAUGCAUAAUUUUUUAUUUUUAAAGAUUAAAAUUUUUAUUUUUUGUAAGAAUACAUAAAUAUUUAAAAGGGACGAUAAGACCCUAAAAGCUUUAUUAUUUAAAUUUUCUUUAUUAUUUGAGUUUGGUUAUUUAAUAUAUUUUAACUGGGGCGGUUGUUUUUAUAACAAAAAUUUUUUUUACAGUAUAGGUUUAAAGGUCCUUAAAAUUAGGAUAGAUUGUUUAAGUUACUUUAGGGGUAACAGCGUAAUAAUAAUAGGGAGACCUUAUUUAUAUUAUUGAUUGCGACCUCGAUGUUGAAUUAAAUUUUCCGAAUAAAGCAGAAAUUAUGUGUGAAAGUUUGUUCAACUUUUAAAAUUUUACAUGAUUUGAGUUCAAAUCGGUUUAAGCCAGAUUGGUUUCUAUCUUUUUUAAAAUAAAAAUUGUUUUAGUACGAAAGGAUUAAACAUUUUUUA